CAGCAGCCGCGGGAAUACGAAGGGUGCAAGCGUUAAUCGGAAUUACUGGGCGUAAAGCGCACGUAGGCGGAUCGAUCAGUCAGGGGUGAAAUCCUGGAGCUCAACUCCAGAACUGCCUUUGAUACUGUCGAUCACGAGUCCGGAAGAGGUGAGUGGAACUCCUAGUGUAGAGGUGCAAUUCGUAGAUAUUAGGAAGAACACCAGUGGCGAAGGCGGCUCACUGGUCCGGUACUGACGCUGAGGUGCGAAAGCGUGGGGAGCAAACAGGAUUAGAGACCCCUGUAGUCCCUGUCUCUUAUAC
rnacentral:rRNA from 1 species